rnacentral:rRNA from 1 species
GACGAACGCUGGCGGCAUGCCUUACACAUGCAAGUCGAACGGCAGCAUGGGUGCUUGCACCUGAUGGCGAGUGGCGAACGGGUGAGUAAUGCAUCGGAACGUACCCGGAAGUGGGGGAUAACGUAGCGAAAGUUACGCUAAUACCGCAUAUUCUGUGAGCAGGAAAGUGGGGGAUCGCAAGACCUCGCGCUUCCGGAGCGGCCGAUGUCGGAUUAGCUAGUUGGCGGGGUAAAGGCCCACCAAGGCAACGAUCCGUAGCGGGUCUGAGAGGAUGAUCCGCCAAACUGGGACUGAGACACGGCCCAGACUCCUACGGGAGGCAGCAGUGGGGAAUUUUGGACAAUGGGGGCAACCCUGAUCCAGCCAUGCCGCGUGGGUGAAGAAGGCCUGCGGGUUGUAAAGCCCUUUCGGUAGGGACGAAAGCUCUCGACCUAACACGUCGGGAGGUUGACUUAACCUACAGAAGAAGCACCGGCUAACUCUGUGCCAGCCGCCGCGGUAAUAC